rnacentral:lncRNA from 1 species
GAGAGCCCGGCCUGGGAGGCGGAGCCAGGGACCCCCGGGCUGAGCCUGAUUUCUGAGGGCGGCCGAGACCACCUCCCUCCAGGGGCUGCUGUGCCCACAGGGACCGGCGCCCUCUGUGCGUCCCACGGCUCCUGGCCCCGUUCAGCGCCUCCAGAGGCCUCACCCGGGCCCUCUCCACUGGGUCCACAGGGGCCUCAAAGCGCUGGCCCAGACGCGGGGUCACUCCCCUGAGCCUCCCGACCUUCCCAUGCAUUGGUCCUUUGGAGCCCUGGGUUCUGGAGUUUGUCCUUCCUAAAUGCCGCCAGCCAGGACGCGGCUGCUCCAGGACCACAGCGGACCGAGUGCGGCCGCGUCCCCUGCGGGCCACCCAUCAAGGGCACAGGGGGAGAGGCGUCGUGUAGGGUCCAGCCCUACUGGGUCUGUGGGUUUUUCUCCUCGUUUGCGGAGACGAGAGAUUGUAGAAAUAAAGACACAGGAAAAAGAGACAGAAAAAAACAGCUGGGCCCGGGGGACCACUACCACCUAGAUGCGGAGACCGGUAGUGGCCCCGAAUGCCUGGCUGCACUGUUACUUAUUGGAUACAAGGCAAAAGGGGCAGGCACCAGCAAAGGGCCCAGCUUCCCUGGUCUUGUCAGCCUUGCCAGUGCUAAGAGUGGACAGGCACUCCCAGUUACCUGCGGCACCUCCACGGCAGAAAUGGAGAAGACAUGGAGGCAGAAGAUCUUGGAGCCAUUGUAGCCGACCACAAAGCCCUGCAGCUUCUGCCGGUGCAUAGGGAAGUCUCCCUCUGAUGCCGAGCCACAGCUGGACUGUACUGCUGCCAUCUCGGCUCACUGCAACCUCCCUGCCUGAUUCUCCUGCCUCAGCCUGCCCAGUGCCUGCGAUUGCAGGCGCGCGCUGCCACGCCUGACUGGUUUUCGUAUUUUUUUGGUGGAGACGGGGUUUCGCUGUGUUGGCCGGGCUGGUCUCCAGCUCCUCACCGCGAGUGAUCCGCCAGCCUCGGCCUCCCGAGGUGCCGGGAUUGCAGACGGAGUCUCGUUCACUCAGUGCUCAGUGGUGCCCAGGCUGGAGUGCAGUGGCGUGAUCUCGGCUCGCUACAACCUCCACCUCCCAGCCACCUGCCUUGGCCUCCCAAAGUGCCGAGAUUGCAGCCUCUGCCCGGCC